rnacentral:rRNA from 1 species
UACAGAGGUCCCGAGCGUUGUUCGGAUUCACUGGGCGUAAAGGGUGCGUAGGUGGUGGAGUAAGUUUGAUGUGAAAUCUCCGGGCUUAACCCGGAACUGCAUUGAAUACUAUUCCGCUGGAGGUUUGGAGGGGGGACGUGGAAUUCUCGGUGUAGCAGUGAAAUGCGUAGAUAUCGAGAGGAACACCAGUGGCGAAGGCGAGUCCCUGGACAACACCUGACACUGAGGCACGAAAGCUAGGGGAGCAAACAGG